GAAGUACUCCCUCCGUCCGGAAUUACUUGUCAUCAAAAUGGAUGAAAAUUGAUGUAUCUAGAACUAAAAUACAUCUAGAUACAUCCAUUUCAAUGACAAGUAUUUCCGGACGGAGGGAGUAACAA
rnacentral:pre_miRNA from 1 species